AAUAUUGGACAAUGGGCGAAAGCCUGAUCCAGCCAUGCCGCGAUUGUGAAGAAUGUCUUCGGAUUGUAAAGCACUUUCAGUUGGGAGGAAGGGGUUGAAGCUAAUACCUUCAAUCUUUCACGUUGCCAACAGAAUAAGCAUCGGCGAACUCGGUGCCAGCAGCCGCGGUAAUACAGAGGGUGCAAGCGUUAAUCGGAAUUACUGGGCGUAAAGCGCGCGUAGGUGGUUCAGUAAGAUGGAAGUGAAAUCCCCGGGCUUAACCUGGGAACUGCUUUCAUAACUGCUGAGCUAGAGUACGGUAGAGGGUAGUGGAAUUUCCUGUGUAGCGGUGAAAUGCGUAGAUAUAGGAAGGAACACCAGUGGCGAAGGCGACUACCUGGACUGAUACUGACACUGAGGUGCGAAAGCGUGGGGAGCAAGCAGG
rnacentral:rRNA from 1 species